rfam:Dipodomys ordii contig_40855, whole genome shotgun sequence.
AGGAAUAUGACUCAGUGGUAGAGUGCUUGCCUUGCAUGCAUGAAGCCCUGAGUUCGAUUCCUCAGCACUA